AACUUCCUGUGCUUGCCACACCUGUGUUCUUUAUACUCAAUGUGUAGAAAGAGGAGGCACACAAAACCCAUCUCAUAUAUACCUCAGCCCCAAACCUUUGCCUAGUCAGCAUUACGAAUGGAGGGACAUGG
rnacentral:snoRNA from 1 species